rnacentral:piRNA from 1 species
UCCCAGCUCGAUUUUCAAAAA